AAAUUGAAGAGUUUGAUCAUGGCUCAGAUUGAACGCUGGCGGCAGGCCUAACACAUGCAAGUCGAACGGUAACAGGAAGAAGCUUGCUUCUUUGCUGACGAGUGGCGGACGGGUGAGUAAUGUCUGGGAAACUGCCUGAUGGAGGGGGAUAACUACUGGAAACGGUAGCUAAUACCGCAUAACGUCGCAAGACCAAAGAGGGGGACCUUCGGGCCUCUUGCCAUCGGAUGUGCCCAGAUGGGAUUAGCUAGUAGGUGGGGUAACGGCUCACCUAGGCGACGAUCCCUAGCUGGUAUGAGAGGAUGACCAGCUACAAUGGAACUGAGACACGGUCCAGACUCCUACUGGAGG
rnacentral:rRNA from 1 species